GAUUUCAACUGAAAAGUCAUCAAUAACAAAGUGGUAUAACUCAUCAAGAUCUAUAACUUCUAUUUUGAUUAUUUCUUCAUCCGACAAAAUGAUUUGUAAGAUUGUUCAUAAAAUGUACAUCUUUUAUAUAUUUUUAUUGUUCAUAAAAUGUACAUCUCUUAUACAGACUAUAUAAGAGAUGUACAUUUUAUGAACAAUCUUACAAAUCAUUUUGUCGGAUGAAGAAAUAAUCAAAAUAGAAGUUAUAGAUCUUGAUGAGUUAUACAACUUUGUUAUUGAUGACUUUUUCAAAUGAAAUC
rnacentral:pre_miRNA from 1 species